UAUUUGAAUAAGUAUUUACGAACGUAGCCGUUUUCGGUAUCCUUUCUAUUAAUCAGGAAAAACUCUAUAGAUAAAUUUCCUAAGUUUCCACAUGUACGGAUUACUGACGCCUGCUUCAUUUGCAUGUGGAAAUAGCAAAAAAUCACUGGCGCCAAUAAAUUGUAAUCAUAACGCCAACAAAGUUGACGCUACUUCUAUUUUUUGGCGCCAUUAACAGUAUUUAUAAAAAAACGGUGUAACUAUUAACGUGUUCGUCCAACUAAAAUGAACAAAUCCUAAUAAACCGUCCAAAAAUGGACAUCAGAACAAACAAAUCAGAAAAUUCAACAAUAUAAGGACCGACAGCACGAAAUAAAGCUGUCAGAAGGAUAGUUGAAGUUAUGAAGAAAACAGUUCCUAAUUUUGACAAAAACCUCGGCAAAAGCAAAAAUACGAAGAAGAUACACAUAUCAAUUUAGAAAUUGUGCUUUUUGGAAAACGAUACAUAUACAUAUUGCAGAAGAAUUUCCAGAAGCCAAAAAUCUUAAAGUUGCUUGCAGUUUUACGUGAGCUGGAAUUUUUGUAUUUUAGAGGAUACUUGCCUCAACAAAAACAUGAAACUCUCUUCAGUCAUUCUUAAAUGAUUAAAAAAUGUUUGAUGGUCUUCAUGGCAUAAUUCUCAAUUAAAGUACUAGACGCAUCUAGGUUAUUUCUACGUGCAAUCCACGAUCUAACCCAGCAACUAUGGUUUCGCUUUUUUUUGUUAAUAACGUGUGCAGUUCCAAGGAGCACAUUUGGAGUACCAUAUUGAUGCCAGCGGGAAGUACAUCACUUGACGCCAUUUUUAUUACUGUGCCAGUACAGAAUUAUAACAUUUAUGUGGAAACAACUUCUGGCGCCAGCUAAUUAGCACUAAACUGGCUUCAUUCACAGCAGUUCUAUUCUUUCAACACGUUUUAUUACCACUUCAAAUCUUUCUCUAAUCAUCCACUCUAUCUUUAUAUCUCGUGCGGUGUCUGCCCCUACGUCUUGUGCCUACCAUGUUUGCUCUAAAAGCUAUCUAAGUCUUUGUCUUCGCCACCCUUUAAAUCUCGGAGUUCAAAAUUUAUUUUUCUCCGUAUUCCAUCUGCUUCUAUCACUGGUCCAAAUAUUUUACUGAUUAUCUGUCAAACUCUCGAAGUCCGCUUCCGUCAGAUUCCAGGGUUCCACUCCGUAAGUUAAAACUUGUCUGACCUAGGUCUUAUACACCCUCAGCUUGGCUCUAGUAGACCUUUAGUCCUUUGAUUUGCAAAUCCUCAUGGCGCAUAUUAAUAACAUCUCUUUGCAGCUUGUAUUCUUUCUUGUUUUCUUUCCGUUAUGUUAUUGUCAUUCAUAAAGAUUACACCUAAAUACUUGAAUGCUUGAACAUUCUCGAAAGUAUAUUCGCCUACUGUUAUAGUUUCAGGUCUUUCCCUCUGUUCACUUCGUGUUAUCUUCUAUAUACAGGAUUUCAUCUUUGGCUGCUCUUUCAAUGCCAGUAAAAAUCUCCACAAGCUUCUCAUAGCUUCUGGCCAUUAUCAAUACAUCAUCCGCAUAUGCGCAUAUUUGAAAUGAAUUUGGCGUAAUGCUGCCUCUGUUUUCGAGACUACCAAUGGCCCAUUCCGUCCAUUCCUCCCUGUCUCACACCAUUCCGUAUGUCAAAAACAUCAGAUAUUCUUCGUUGCACCGAUACCACGACUCUGGAGCCCUCCAUUGUCAUCAUUGCUACCAGUGCCAGUUUUCGGGGGAUUCCCGUUUGUAUUAAAUUAGCCUAGUCCUCUGUAUACUGUAAAAGGCUUCUUUAAAGUCUCUAAAUAUGCAGUGUAAGUCAGUGUUAUACUCGUAAUAUAUCUCGGUUACUUGACAAAGGAGGAAGAUUUGGUCCAUUGCAGAUAUUCCUUCCCUGAAGCCACACUGGUAUUCACCCAGUAUGUUCUCAGCAUAUGGCUUUAUCCUCUCGUAGAUUACAUUCGACAAUACUUUGAAUGCGGCAUUCAAAAGCAUAAUUCCCCUAAAAUUGUCGCAAUUGGUCUUGUCCCCUUUCUUGUGCGGCAGAUGAUUCCCGUUUUCCAUUUCUCCGGCAUCCGUUCUCCUUGCCAUAUCAUACAAGCUCCGUUCCAGCCAUCUUCAUGAGUUUCGGCGUAAUUCCAUCUUCGCCUGGUGCCCUUCCAUUUUUCAUCUUCAUUAAAGCUGUUGUUAUCUCAUCGAAGGAUAGUAGUUUUAUCUUUGGUUCAGCAGUUUAUAUCACCACUCUCUCCGUGUCCGAAUCAUCUGCUAUGUUCUCCACAUUCAUCAAGAGUGUACCAUCCUUGUCCUUACAUACAUACAGUCUCGGUUAAUAUCCCUUCUUAUAAUAAAAGUUUUUAUUGUUACACUAAAAGCUUACAAUUUUCUGCACAAUACAUGACAAACCAAACUUAACUUCACCUAUUCACACCAUGCCUUCCCCCCCUCUUCCAGAAUCUGCCACCUUAUUUUCUUCAUCUCUCAGCUCACUACAUCCCCUCAACAUAUGUUGUAAUGUCUCCAAAUCCUCUCUGCACAACCGACACCACCUCUCCACAUCAUCCACCCAGUACCUGUUCGCUCUCUCCUCAUCACCACACUGAAAUCUGGCCACCAACCUUUUCCCUUUCUCACUCCCCUCCUUCACCAAGUAUUUUGGAAGCCCUUCCGUCAUUUUGUCCCCAUAUCUUUCAUUGCACCUUCCCUCUCUUAUCUGCGUCCUUCUCUCCUGUCUCUGGACUCCUCUCUCCUUUACCAUAUCUAAUCUUCCCCUCCCUAACUUCCUUUCAACACUCCCCCAGGAUCCCGCAGUAUGGUCUUCUAUCUAUCAUUUCUUCAUAUUUAACUGCUUUUUUGUUGUCUCCACCAUUGUUUCAUCCACCUUCACUUCCUCCCUCACAAUAUACCCCACUGUUUCCAUCGCCAGACCCAGAACCCACGUCCAGCACCGAUUGUGUACGUCCUCCAGAAUGUCCUAUCUCUUCCAUGCCCAAACUUCCGCCCUAUACAUCAUUGCACUCCUCGCCAACCCAUCAAACACAAUCUUUCUCUUUCUGAUGCCCCUUCCUAACACUCUCUCACCCCAUCUCCAGACCUGCACCAUCGCCUUAUUUGCCCUUUUAGCCAUCUUCCUCACAAGCGCCUGGUUCUUGCUAUCCUCCCUGAAUCUGUACCCCAGACACAGAAUAUCUAACAAUUGUUAGAUUUUCUGUACCUCAGAUAUGUGAAUUCUCUGACCUCCUCUAUCCCUCUCCCCUGCCAUCUCCAUUCCGCCCUCUUUCUUCUUCCCCCUUUGCAGAAUUUCAUCAUCUUUGUCUUUGCUACAUUAACCUUCAACCCCUUCUUCACCCUAGUUCCUAUCUACCAUUGUAGAAAUCUUUUUGCUCCAAAGAUUAUGAAGAAAUAUAUUUCUAUAUUUUGUAUUGUGUAUUUUUAUAGUUUGAUUGAAAAUGAAUGGAAAUCUGCAAAACAGUUACUACUCAAUUGUUUUGUCGAAAGGAAAUGCUGAUUCAAUAUCGUCCAUUCUCAUUUGUGCAGUUUGUAAUGUUCCUUCUCAACUUCUGACUGUCUCUCUGUGAAUGAAUUCUGUCUUUUACCGCUCACUUAUAUGUUGCUAAGUUAAAAAUGCUUUUUAAUAGUCUACAAUAUUCUUCAUAAUCAUUCACUUUCCACUUGAAAAGGUCUUGAAUCAUAAAGGAGUAUUAUUUAAAAUACUUUUCUGGUAUAUUUGUUUAGAAUAUUUAUUUUCAAUUUAAAUGUAAUAGAUUUGUUAACUAAAUCUUAUCAGCUAACGUAAAAAAUAUUUGAAA